CUUGCUAUAAUCUCCAGCUCUAAAAAUCAGAGCUCUCAAUGAAAACAAUGGAAGAAUAAGACAUUCUUUCGGUCUUCUGUUUGCCUCACUGGUGUAUCCUUCAUCUCCUGCCCCUGUGAGUUGAUACCCCAGUGCACGGAGCCAAGGGCUUUUCCCCUCUGAGCUCUGGGAGGGAAGGGAAUGGAGCUCUGGGUUUGAGAUGUCAUGGCCUGUGAUAGUCAGUUUGGUUCCUGCCACUAGCAAGUCCCCUGAAGCUCCCAACCCAGCCUGAUGUUAGCCCAGAAGCUCCUGCUCUGGCCAAAGACUCCUAUCCUUGAGGGCUCUCAGCCACUGCUCCAACACACUUGCCCCCUUCCUGCUUGUGUAUGUCACUUAUCCUCCUUUGUCCACAAAGACUUGAGGGCCUCCUGAGUCUCCAAGCAUGGAGGAAUAUCCAUGCCAACAUCCCUGCCAUCAAACUCAAUCCAUUUUCUUCAGAGAUACCUUGUCUGUCACCAGCCUCCAACUUCAUAUUCCUUCCACAGGCAACUGUGCACUUGACCCAAGGUAAAAUGAAAGGGCUGCCAAUCACUCGGACUCCAGAAGGUGCCUGCCCUGAGAAGAGCUGGCAUGUUACCUCCCACAUACAUUUCCUGUCAUCCUGUCCGAAUCUGGGAAAUUUUGCUCUGGAGUAUUUUCAAGAAAGCGCAUUGUGUUUUAAUGAAGUAUUUUUCAGGGUUCCAAUGUUAUUUUUUAUAAAUGCAGCAUUUUAAUGGCAGAUUCAAUAUGAAGGACAUGUCUUCCUGGGCUCUAUAUUUGAUUUUGGAAGGCAGCAUACUCUAGGAGAAAAAAAGCAUAGGGCUGAGGCUCUGAAGACACAGCUUCCAGCCCUGGCUUUGUCUCCGAGGGGGAGUCAUGUUCCCCACUCAGUGCCUCAGUUUCCCCAUCUGUAAAAUGAGGGGCUUUGACUAGAUGAGCUCUGAAGUUUCAUCCAGCUCUUACACUGUAGGGCUUUCAUUCCCUGCCAGCACCUGCUCUCCCCGUUCCUCCCCACCUCCACUGAGCUGCACACAUCCCACAAUGCCUGCCCCACAGCGAUGUCCUCAGAUGUCCUGGACAGCCACCGCACUCCUCACUAGAGCCUGGGGUGGGCCUGAUGGGCUCGGCCACCCAGGGAUGCCCUCGUACCUGAAGUUUAAGGGCCUAACCAUUCAAUAGGUCACCAACUGUGUGCCAUGGAAGCCCUCUUGUAAAGACACACCUAAACCAUCCUAAGUGACUGUGGAAUUCUGGGGAAUUCUGAGUUUGGAGUUUCCAUUUGGAUACGGUCCUUAUAGCUGGAGGGAGGCGGUUCCAAUUUCAGAGAGGGAGCUGGCUGGAGAGAAAGGUCUGGAGGUUGGCCCAUAAGGGCAUGAAGUUUGUACUUGAGGGCAGCUGGGAAAUUCAUUUCAAGCUGCAGAGGAACGUGUUCACAGGCUGUUGUGUGGCAAUGAAUGUCAUGAUAACCCACUCUGGAAUAUGUGUCCUGAAGACCAAGUCUGGACACUGAGGCUCCAUUCCAACUGGAGGAGGAGGCAUCUCCAUCUGGGCUGCUAGGAAGGGGCACUCAUCCCAUCCUAGUACCUUUGUAGCCCUUCGUCAUGACACUACCGUCCUCCCGGUGAAGGCUUGUGAAGCAAGAAUGGAGAGUCCAAGUUUGUGAUAUUCAAACCCAUCUUGUAAAUCAGCAAACACAUUAACCUUCCAUCAGUCAGAGAAAUAAUGUUGUGGCUGUGUGUUUCCUUAAUGCUCUCCCUCCUGAGGGAGGAGAAGACCCUGCUCAACUUUGCUGCCCACCCUGCAGUGACCCCUGAAUGCCACACCAUGGGAGGACUCAUUCAUUGGCUUUGUAGUGGCAAAUAUUCCUCUAGUUCUAUAACUCAACUAGACAUUUUGUAGUAAAGAAUUCUUGAAAUUCUCUAAUAAAAAGCAAUUCUUACUGUAAUAUUUUUAGUUUGGGGACACAAUUUCCUAAGGGGGGAUUAAUGAACAUUUUUAUGCAUUAGCCCAAUUUAUGAAUUCCAUGUUUAUUAUAUGGUAGUACUGAUGAAAAGUACCUUUCUAUCUGUAUCUUUGCAGUUUCUUCGUUACUCAUAUGUAAGCCUCAUGGUAAGCAGUGCUCUAGUAACUGCUUCUCUGUACAAAUCUCAUCGUUCUACUUACCUGUCAAAGCACAUUCUACAUGUACUGUAAACAGAUACACUUUAGUAAGAUUUAGUCUUAAGGAUUUUUCCACUUUUGUCAGUAACAGAUAUUUAUGGAUUAAAAAAUAAAGCCGUUUCAACAU
rnacentral:lncRNA from 10 species